CUGGAUCAUAGUAGUCUGCGAUGUCUGGCUCGCUCGUUGGAGAAGGGUCUCGCCUGCAUGUAGGAGCCUGCUUUGGUGAUAAGUACUAUUCGGAUGGUGGUGCACUGAAUGUCGGGCGAAAAGCGGGUGCAUCUGAUCUCAUUGUACUAGUCGUAGGUGCGUCUAAUCUCAUGGUGUUCUGUACUACGACAUCUGAAUCGCGGGAGAUUGACCUGCUUGCUGUAGGGACAUCAUCCUCUGCAUUUUGCAUGCAGUUUCCAAGGCCCAUGCCAUCCAUGUCUCUCUGUAUAUGCUCUUUGACCUUAUUGUGUGUAGGAGCUGUGAUAGAAGGACUAGGUGAAGGUGUAUGCGUAGGAGUCUUACUCACAGAAGGUCCUUCUCCAAAGAGCUUAAAAACCAAGUCCUCAAUAGCAAAUCUCAUGGUAGAUCCAACUUUCAUUCCAUGGUCCUUCUUAAAGUGAUCAAUCAACAUAUGCUUGACACCAUGUCGCUCUGAGCUGAUCUCAGCCAACAACCCCUG
rnacentral:lncRNA from 1 species